CCGGCACGGGUGAGUAACACGUAUCCAACCUGCCGUCUACUCUUGGACAGCCUUCUGAAGGAAGAUUAAUACAAGAUGGCAUCAUGAGUCCACAUGUUCACAUGAUUAAAGGUAUUCCGGUAGACGAUGGGGAUGCGUUCCAUUAGAUAGUAGGCGGGGUAACGGCCCACCUAGUCAACGAUGGAUAGGGGUUCUGAGAGGAAGGUCCCCCACAUUGGAACUGAGACACGGUCCAA
rnacentral:rRNA from 1 species